CACACAGUGUUUUUUGUUAUUACAAGAACUUUUGCUUUGGUCUGGACUAGAAAUAGUUUGGGCCAGAGGUUUACUGAACUAAACUUCAAUAUUUAUAUUGAAUUGUUAUUUAUUUAAUUGUCAAUUUGUUGAUUAAAUUCAAAAAAUCUUCAAAACUUUCAACAACGGAUCUCUUGGUUCUCGCAUCGAUGAAGAACGCAGCGAAAUGCGAUAAGUAAUAUGAAUUGCAGAUUUUCGUGAAUCAUCGAAUCUUUGAACGCACAUUGCGCCCUCUGGUAUUCCAGAGGGCAUGCCUGUUUGAGCGUCAUUUCUCUCUCAAACCUUCGGGUUUGGUAUUGAGUGAUACUCUUAGUCGAACUAGGCGUUUGCUUGAAAUGUAUUGGCAUGAGUGGUACUGGAUAGUGCUAUAUGACUUUCAAUGUAUUAGGUUUAUCCAACUCGUUGAAUAGUUUAAUGGUAUAUUUCUCGGUAUUCUAGGCUCGGCCUUACAAUAUAACAAACAAGUUUGACCUCAAAUCAGGUAGGAUUA
rnacentral:rRNA from 1 species